CGGCGUAGCGAAGGUCACUUGGUAUAAUAAAAAACGAUGAAAUUCCUCUUUUGACGGGCCAAUAGAGAUAUUGGCCAUUUUUAU
rnacentral:sRNA from 1 species